rnacentral:rRNA from 1 species
ACUGCGAGUGAAGCGGGAUAAGCUCAAAUUUAAAAUCGGGUAGUCUCCUGGCUGCCCGAGUUGUAAUCUGGAGAAGUGUUUUCUGUGUCAGACCGUGUACAAGUCUCCUGGAACGGAGCGUCAUAGAGGGUGAGAAUCCCGUCCAUGACACGGACCGCUGAUACUCUGUGAUACGCUCUCAAAGAGUCGAGUUGUUUGGGAAUGCAGCUCAAAAUGGGUGGUAAAUUCCAUCUAAAGCUAAAUAUGGGCGAGAGACCGAUAGCGAACAAGUACCGUGAGGGAAAGAUGAAAAGCACUUUGGAAAGAGAGUUAAACAGUACGUGAAAUUGUUGAAAGGGAAACGCUUGAAGUCAGUCGUGUUGUGCAGAACUCAGCCCUUUUCGGAGGGUGUACUUUCUGUUCACAAUGGGUCAACAUCAAUUUUGGCCAGUGGAGAAAGGUGGGGGGAAUGUAGCGCUGUCUCGGCUGCGUGUUAUAGCCCUCUAUUGUAUACAUUGGCUGGGAUUGAGGAUACUAAUGCAGCACGCCCUUGUGGCCGGGGGGCUCGUCGCCCUCACGUCACGUGCUUAGGAUGUUGGCAUAAUGGCUUUAAGCGACCCGUCUUGAAACACGGACCAAGGAGUCUAACAUGCUUGCGAGUGUUCGGGUGGAAAACCCUUGCGCAGAAUGAAAGUGAAAGUUGGGAGCCCUCCGCAAGGGGGGUGCACCGACGCCCGGCCCUGACGUUCUCUGACGGUGCUGCGGUAGAGCAAGUAUGCUGGGACCCGAAAGAUGGUGAACUAUGCCUGAAUAGGGCGAAGCCAGAGGAAACUCUGGUGGAGGCUCGUAGCGAUUCUGACGUGCAAAUCGAUCGUCAAAUUUGGG